GUCACUGGUCACAGCUAGCAACAGCUUAUAACAGGUGUGGCAAACAUAGUUCCUGACGUUUGUGACGUCAAAGGGGCACAGUGCCAUACACUCGGGCCUUCUUCAGUUAUUAUUGCCAUUAAACUGACAUCUACAAAAAACUAUUUGCCUUUGUGGUAUAUACCAAACCACUCCGGU